CCCUCCGGGGGCUCGGUGUUGGGGACCGGCCCCGCUUCUUCUAGCGGGUGCCGCCCCCGAAAUACAGUGGCGGUCAUGCCGCAGCCUCCUCUGCGUAGUAAUUACAACCUCGCACCGGAGCCGCAGCCUGGCCACGCCGUAAAACCCCAACUUCAUGAAAGGUUGACCUCGGAUCAGGUAGGAAUACCCGCUGAACUUAA
rnacentral:misc_RNA from 1 species